rnacentral:misc_RNA from 1 species
AAAAAAGAAAAAAAGGAGAGAAGAGAAAAUGUUCAUACUUUAGACUAUUAAUGAAAAUCUAAAUUCUCAAGCUUGUAGGUGAGGGCUUAAUAAUAGGUCUAUAUUUCUAAAACACAAGUACAUGGAAGCUCAUUGGGCUUGAAUAAGUGGCUUAAGCUCAGGGCUACAGGCUGCCUCUUUUUAUUGAAAUUCAAUUGAAGGCACAAAGUACCAACCCAAAACAUGAACUCUCAACAACUUGGAGAAAGAUGCUCUAACAAAGAUAUCCUCGAACCUAGGCUACAUUUGGUAAGGUGUAAUAAAAUCAACUAUUGUUUACAUUAGAUUCCAUUAUGCCUCAUCAAACAUAGACGCAGCCCUAGGAUAUUUUAUUGCACAUUUCCCCCCACGCCCCAAAGUUUCCUUUGGAAAGAAAAUUAUGAAAUUGAAAACAAG